rnacentral:tRNA from 1 species
AACGGGUUAAAGUGCUUGGCUACUAACCAAAAAGUCGGUGGUUCGAGCCCACCACCCGCUU